AGUUCUCUAUGCAAUGCGUCAUCUGUCACAGGGCCGGUGAGGCGCAGGCGUGAGCUGCCCAGGGGCAGGAUGAGCGGAGGGUGCGAGGAAAAACUUUCAAAGAUAUCCCCUAAUUCUGACUCAACGCAUCUAAGAAAUGGAGCAUAGAAAACUCUUUCUAGCAAGUUCGGAGUCAGAAGCAUUCAGCAUCCAUGUUCAGUCACUCUUGACACCGACUUCUGCGGCUGCCAGUGGCCCGUCAUGGUGUCUAAGUCAUCUCACGGGCUGGAGAUGACUCGGGGUCACAGAGAGGCUGAGUACACAGAGCCGGGAUAGAGAUUCAAAAGUCAAAGUCAUACAAAGCCGACCAAGAGUCACCUUGAGCAGGGAGGUGCGGGGCACACAUAGCAGGUUCACAGCAAUGGAAAGUUUCCGGAAGAACUCAGUGGCAAUGUCACCCAGCCCGGCCCCCUGAAGCCAAUCCAACACAAGAUCCAAGUUGGUUCUGAUUUGGACGGCUCGAGACCAUUGAUAGAAAGGUCGGCCUUGACCUGUGUAGGAAGAAAUGAGAGGCGUUGAAUGAAGCUACUUCCCAGGCAAAGCCACCCAACGCUGAAGCCUGAAGCCUGGCUUAUGUCUGCCUGGAUUAGGUCUGGAUAGCUCCUGGCUCCUCCCAACACAACCCUCACCUCGUUCCAUCAGUGAGUUGAGAAGGGAUGCAUUGGAGAAGAAGAACAAAUAGCCAAAAGUCUGGGACACGAGGUCGGGAUGCAGCUCACACUGACUGGUCAGUUCUAGAGCUGCCUGGAACACACCCAGAGUAGGCCUGAGCCCAGGCGGCAUGGCCUCCAGCUCUGCGCCAGGCCCUGGCAGCUCUGCUCCAGCUGUGAAAGGGUUACUGUCCAGGAGAGCUGGCAGUGUUGAAUAAAGAGUCUGGGGGAGGAAACAGGCAACAACCAGAGAGUGACAAUCAAUAAAGACAAUGGGGAAUUCCAUCAAGGGCUUCUGGGAAAUGUAGUCCAUUCUACACCAUUCCCAGGUGGCUCCCUGAUCAAUCCCCCAUUUCCUCGGUGAAUUUCUAGCAGGUAUUAGGCUCCCUGGAAGAAUCUGUCCUGAGAAAUGUUUUUAGUAAAGUUUCUUAGGUAUUCUGAGAGCAUCUCUUGUGCAUUAUGUAAUCUGUAGUUCUCACAGAGAGGUAGCUCACGUAGGACAGGCCUCUGAACAAAAAAAAGGACCUUCUUCUUCGGUCAAGGAAACGUUUGAGCAGAAUUUCCAAAGGAAAUUAAAAGAAUGGAGAGUCCAGAAGUAGGAGUUGGGUGGCAGCCAGCCAAGGGAAAUUCGAGCAAGCCAAGGACAGGAAACGAAGGCGAUGACAGAAAAAACGUCAGGGUCUACUUGUCAAGACCACACAAGAAGUAAACCCUUAGAGGAAAGGGUUUCACAAGCAGGGCCACUCCCGGGUCAUUCACUUGGUAUGUCCCUCUUAUUUUACAGAUAAGAGAAUGCAUUUACCAAAACCAAAACCCAACCUGCAAAUAGGAAGGUCAAAGGUGGUAGAGGGGAAACCAAGCCCCACAAGAAUACUCCAGUGAAAAAAAGAAAAGGACCAAGGAUCAGAAAAGGGAAGUGAAGUCAGAUGCAGGAAGUGGUAUCAGCAAACACACAAAACUCAGCAGUCAACUUCACCAGUGUAAGCUUUAAAAAAAAAAAAAAAAGGUGACUGAUACAGAGGAGAUCAAUUCAGUUGGACAAGACAUAGGAGAGCCAAGACAGAAAAAUGAGCCAGAAAGGAAGUGAUGUCAGCCAAACAGGAAAUAGUGUGAUAAGAGCAAGGUGCUAGGGCGAAAUGGGAAGUGACUCCUAGGAGAAGGAAGUGACGUCAGAGCAGCACAAUGUCAGUUAGGUGGAAAGCGAGAGUAUUUCAGGAGGGAAGCGUCACCUUGGUGAGGUAGUAGACCGACUGCUGGAAAGUACACAUGAUGACCUCAUCCAGGAGGGCCAAGGCCUCAUCACACAGUUCCAAGUCAUUGCAGAGCUGUGGGUCCGAGGACAGGCCUGGGGAUGAGAGGGGGAACACGCUGGCUGCUAGAGCCUAGGUUUCUAGGCUCAGGGUAUGACAGCGGGACAGAGUGGGCCCGGGACCUCAGCUCACCCUCCUGGUCAGCCUCCUUCUCCAUCUCUAGCACUUUCUCCUGUACAAAGCUCAACAGCUCUGUGGUGUUGGCCAUCCAUAGUAUGAGUGGUCGCAGCUCCACAGACACAGCCUCAGGGGUCAGAGGCACCUCGGGAACUCCCUCUGGGUGGCUAAGGGAAGAAGGGGGGGGACCCUCAAUACAAAGACCAGACUUCAAGGUCUGAGUUUUCCCCCACCCAACUCUGUGACUCUCCAGAUCUGUACACCCCAGCUUUCUCUUACUUCUCUGGCUGGCGGUCUCCAAUUUCUUUAAUUUUUUCCUGUAGGACAGUAAGAUAAAAAUCCAUGUGAGAGGCUGGGUGGAGGGGAUCAAGGCUACGCAAAUUAGUUUGCCUAAAUGGACCUUUCUUGAGCACAAGCUGGUAUACGCUCAUACAUGUGUCUCUGUGUGCGCACGCAUGUUGCAGAGCUGGCUCCGUGUUUGCGUAUGUGUGGGUGCACGGGUAUGUGGAAGCCUGGUGUUGAUGCUGGCAUCUUCCUUGGUGACUCUGCUUUACUGAGGUAGAGGUUGUCCCUGUAUUUGAACCUGUUAAUUCCAGCUAGCUAGCUAGCCAGUUGGCUCCAGGGAAGGCUGUCCCGGCUCCCUGGGAGCUGGGAUGACAGGUGGUCGCCAUGUCUUCCUGGCUUUUACCUGGGUUCUCGGGCUUACAAGACAAGCACUUUAUCCCUUAGUCAUCUUCCCAGUUACACACACACACACACACACACACACACACACACACACACAGACACACACACACACACCACACACACAAAACACACAACACACGCACAGACACACACACACACACACACCACAGAAACACACACACACCUUUUUGUUCUUAAGACUUCUAUUAGCAUUGGCUCCCAAUUUUGUGCCCGCCUCCUAGCCUUGUCUCCUCCAGUCACAAAAUUCUGCCACACACAUCCAGCUUCCGACCAUUGACCUUUUAUGGUGGUUUUAUGUUUUUCUGUUUGGUUGAUUUCUGCUGUUGGUUGUUUGUUUGCUUGUUUUAAAACAUAGCUUCUUUCAAAAAAAAUAAAAUAAAAAAUAAUUAAAAACCAUA
rnacentral:lncRNA from 1 species